rnacentral:rRNA from 1 species
AGGCCUAACACAUGCAAGUCGAACGGCAGCACAGAAGAGCUUGCUCUUUGGGUGGCGAGUGGCGGACGGGUGAGUAAUGUCUGGGAAACUGCCCGAUGGAGGGGGAUAACUACUGGAAACGGUAGCUAAUACCGCAUAACGUCGCAAGACCAAAGUGGGGGACCUUCGGGCCUCACACCAUCGGAUGUGCCCAGAUGGGAUUAGCUAGUAGGUGGGGUAAUGGCUCACCUAGGCGACGAUCCCUAGCUGGUCUGAGAGGAUGACCAGCCACACUGGAACUGAGACACGGUCCAGACUCCUACGGGAGGCAGCA